rnacentral:rRNA from 1 species
AUGAACCUUUGGAAUGAGUUGCAGCCGAUCCAACUCACUCAGGCUCAAGAUUAUUCACUAACCUGGAGAUGGACAAACGAUGGUCAGUUUUCCUCCAGCUCGGCGUACGCUGCCACUCUUACUACCAACAUUAGGCCACCUUAUGCGAAGCUGGCCUGGAGCUCGGAUGCCCCUCCCAAAUGUCAGUUCUUCGUUUGGCUGGCUGCUCAAGAUCGAUGUCUAACGGCGGAUAACCUUGCUAAGCGAGGGUGGCCCCAUAAUCCGCUGUGUCUGCUAUGUCUACAAGAGCCUGAAACUGCUGCCCACCUGCUUACUUCUUGCUCUUUUGUGAAGGAAGUUUGGCACCUGACACUCUGCAAGCUGAACAUGAGCCCGGCUAUGGCGGCAGUUCAUGACGAUUCCCUAGUUAGCUAG